GUUGUACUCCCUCUGUCCGAAAAUACUUGUCAUUGAAAUGGAUGUAUCUAGAUGUAUUUUAGUUCUAGACACAUCCAUUUUGAUGACAAGUAAUUCCAGACGGAGGGAGUACUUG
rnacentral:pre_miRNA from 1 species